UUGUCUCUCACUUUCUCCUCCUCAAAUAACAACACACUUGUGUUUGGGAUACAUCAGGCAGCACAGGGGUUGCAGAGACUCACUGGCCAGAGCUUGGCUUGGCGAAACUUGACUCUUGCUCCCAUGUCCUGAUCUUCAGCCAACUUUUGCAUACCCCAUAAGGCUCACCUCAACACCAACCUUAUCUUUGAGUCCUUUCUUUCUUCUCCAGAUGUGUUCUAUGUGAGAUGCACAAUGUCCCUCAUGUGUGUUUGAACACAUGGUUGCUGAGUGAUAGUCCUAAUUUUGAGGGUUGCGGACCUGUUAAGAGGUGGGUUGCGGGGAGAGCAGGUCUUGGGGUUUUUAACCAGUUUUUCUCCCUGUCUCCCUGCUUCCCAAUGCACCCAAAUGUGAGCAACAGCUUUGCUUCCUGUGGCCAUAGCUGAGAGCUACUACCACUGCCAGACCUUUCCUGACAUGGUGGACUUUCCUCCCAAUUAUGAGUCAGAUGCUGAUACCUAGGAGGCAUCUUGUACCCCGAGAUGCAUUUCAAUAUGAAUGCUGCACGACUCUGAGAAUAUCUUUCUUGAGAAUAGGUAAAAAUAGAAGCAAAGUAGUAGGCAGCAUUGAAGGAGGAGGAGGAGGAGGAGGAGGAGGAGGAGAAAGAAGAAGAAGAAGAAGAAGAAGAAGAAGAAGAAGAAGAAGAAGAAGAAGAAGAAGAAGAA
rnacentral:lncRNA from 1 species